UACGUAGGGUGCGAGCGUUGUUCGGAUUUACUGGGCGUAAAGGGCGCGUAGGCGGCUUAACAAGUCACUUGUGAAAUCUCCGGGCUUAACUCGGAACGGCCAAGUGAAACGUGUCAAGCUAGAGUGGCAGAAGGGGCAAUCGGAAUUCUUGGUGUAGCGGUGAAAUGCGUAGAUAUCAAGAGGAACACCUGAGGUGAAGACGGGUUGCUGG
rnacentral:rRNA from 1 species